rnacentral:rRNA from 1 species
GCGUGUGUGAUGAAGGCCUUAGGGUUGUAAAGCACUUUCACUGGUGAAGAUGAUGACGGUAGCCAGAGAAGAAGCCCCGGCUAACUCCGUGCCAGCAGCCGCGGUAAUACGGAGGGGGCAAGCGUUGUUCGGAAUUACUGGGCGUAAAGGGCGCGUAGGCGGCGAAGUUAGUCAGGCGUGAAAGCCCGGGGCUUAACCUCGGAAUAGCGCUUGAUACUGCUUUGCUUGAGAUCGGAAGAGGGUAGUGGAAUUCCCAGUGUAGAGGUGAAAUUCGU